AUAAAGAAAAGGCUCCCAAACCAGGUCAUUUAAAUUAUUUAGUGUUACUCAAGCUGCACGGUGCCAGGGUGCACUGACUUCUAAUGAGUGGAUUUCUGGCUGGUGGCCAAGUCCUUGCUUUGGCAGUACCUUGCACUUGAAUUAUUUUUCUUCCUGAAUUUGUAGAUGAGAUUGUUGGAAUGGAGUGGGUUUGAGUGAUGUUUGGAAGCAAGCCUCAGAAUGUUUCCUGUGCUGCAGCAGCACGUGAAGCAAUUCAGAAGCAAUUCAGGCUUCUUUCUUACACGUGCCCUAGUCCUGGCUGGGGGAAACCACCUUGGAAGAUGGCACAGAGUGACCUCACUGGCUCACCUGUGUUGGUGUGGCACUGCUACAACCAGCACUUUGAUAGCAUUGUGAUUUUAUUGUGAUGUGUGUGUGCCACGUACGGUCACAGGUGGGCUCUGCAAGGGGCUUUUGGUUGCCAUUCUCUGUUCUGUAGUUCCUUUCAAACGAUGAGUCGUGUCAUCCAGGCACCGUAACAUAACUACCUGCACCAAAGGUCUUUAUUAUCAAAUGCCUUUGUGGUUUGUGUUUGCACACUGAGUGGACACUUCAGUGCAGAGAGACAUAGAUGUUCUGCAGCUGACCACAUUAUCACUCAAACACAGAGCAGAGAUCAGGAAUUUAUCACCACCAGAGUUGAAAAAUCCUGCUUUCUAAUAAUGCAGUUGACUGAUUGUUGGUUGAUGCACUAUAGGACUACUUCUUCUGUCACAAGAUAUGCAAAUGUGUUUAAUUUAAUCCACUGCUUCUCAGUACUAAUUUUAACAGGCUCCCUUUCAGUGUUAAAUAUGCAGAUUUGUUUUCAUACCUGAAUAUUAUACAAAAUGCUUUACCACCACUGCGCCUUAAGACUCAGAGCAGGCAUGCCUUAACGCAACAUCUCUGGUGAUACAAUCAUAGAACCACGGAGGUGUGUUAAUGUAAGCAGUAACUUUUAAAGUUAAACUCCUCCCCAUCAAGUUAAGGGUUAUGGACACUUAAGCAAGUAGAUUACAAGUGCAGCUGUGGUGUAGGUGGUUUUCUGCUUGACCACAGCUUUGGCCACUCAUUAAGCUGAUGAAGUUCCAUCUUUAGCUGCGCAUGUUUGUUCUGUGAAUUUUCAGGGUAGGAGGCAGCUUAGAAAAAAAGGCUUUUGUGUGCCAGAUAGCUUCCAAAGGCGUACUGUGCCCUACAUCUGUGAAUAGAAAGCUCUGAAGAACUGAAUCUGGCUUCCUCAAUUUUACUUGGCGUUACAGUGGAUACUGUUCAUAGAAGUUCACCUUACUGAUCAGCCUCACUGGAAAAGAAAUUGAAGCAAACCUGGCAUGAUCAAAAAUUCAUGAAGACCUACGAGCAACAGUCUAGCAGUAUCAGCACCUCAGCUCCACAUGGGAAAAGUAACUUCAUUUCUGCACUAAGUGUUUUUUGUAUAAUUACGUCAUGAAGGAAAGGAUGAGCUCUCCAAGCGUGGACCUUUCUUAUAUUGGAUGUUAAUAAGAAACUGCUAGUUUAAAACAGCAGUGAUAUAUUGCAUAGCACAGAAUUACUCAGAAAAGUGAUUUAGUCACCAAGCAGAAGCGGUCCCUUUUCUGAGAAGAUCUAACAAGCUCCAAGAUGCUCAUGGCAUGAAUAAAAGAACACCUUUGGCACCAGUGUCACCUGAGGUUCCAGGAAAUGAUGAGGGGAGAGCCACUAAUGAUAAAUGAUCCUGCAAGUCCUCUCUAUCUACAACUGCUGCUGCUUAAGCGAGAAAUCUGCAGAUGGAAGACUUCCUGGAAAGGCCAUGAAGGGGAAAACUUCUGAGCAGAAACUCGUCUGUCUGUCACAUUUUGACAGUCCUUGACUCUACCUUGGCUUCUGUUGGAAAGCUAAUAUUGCCUCUCUAAGUGAAGAUGGAAACUAUCUACUAGAGAACCGUAGAGCCAUAUAGGCUGCAACACACCUGACAGUUGGGUCUCUGAAGUGGUGAAUUUGUGAAAGGAAAAAAAAAAAAAAAAAAAAAAAAAAAACUAUGUUGCCAGAGUUGCACUGUUAGUUUCUGUUCAACUUAAACAGAGUUUCUUAAAAUAAAGCUUGAAUUUAGAGAUUUCGUGCAUGAGCAAGUACAUAACCUGGUAAUACAAGGACUAUUUACAGCUGAUUCUAAACAAAAUA